rnacentral:misc_RNA from 1 species
GAAAUGCAAUAAGUAAUGUGAAUUGCAGAAUUCAGUGAAUCAUCGAAUCUUUGAACGCACAUUGCGCCCGCCAGUAUUCUGGCGGGCAUGCCUGUCCGAGCGUCAUUUCAACCAUCAAGCCCCCGGGCUUGUGUUGGGGACCUGCGGCUGCCCGCAGGCCCUGAAAACCAGUGGCGGGCUCGCUGUCACACCGAGCGUAGUAGCAAUCACCUCGCUCAGGGCGUGCUGCGGGUUCCGGCCGUUAAACAGCCUUACAAAACCCAAGGUUGACCUCGGAUCAGGUAGGAAGACCCGCUGAACUUACGC